GACGAACGCUGGCGGCGGGCUUAACACAUGCAAGUCGAACGGAAAGGCCCUGCUUUUGUGGGUUGCUCGGGUGGCGACCGGGUGAGUAACACUUGAGUAACCUGCCCUUGACUUUGGGUUAACUUCAGGAAACUGGGGCUAAUACCGGUUAGGAGCUCCUGCUUCAUGGGGGGGGUUGGAACGUUUCGGCGGUUGGGGAUGGACUUGCGGGUUUUCAGCUUGUUGGUGGGGUGGUGGCUUAACAAGGCUUUGACGGGUAGCCGGCCUGAGAGGGUAACCGGGCACAGUGCGAAUGAGAUACGGCACAGAGUACUACGGGAGGCAGCAGUGGGGAAUAGUGCACGAUGGGCGGAAGCCGGAUGCAGCAACGCCGCGUGCGGGAUGGUGGCCUUCGGGUUGUAAACCGCUUUCGGCUGUGACGAAGCGUGAGUGACGGUAAUGGGUGAAGAAGCACCGGCUAACUACGUG
rnacentral:rRNA from 1 species